rnacentral:rRNA from 1 species
CGGAGGGAUCAUUACCGAGUUUACAACUCCCAAACCCAAUGUGAACGUUACCAAACUGUUGCCUCGGCGGGAUCUCUGCCCCGGGUGCGUCGCAGCCCCGGACCAAGGCGCCCGCCGGAGGACCAACCAAAACUCUUUUUGUAUACCCCCUCGCGGGUUUUUUUAUAAUCUGAGCCUUCUCGGCGCCUCUCGUAGGCGUUUCGAAAAUGAAUCAAAACUUUCAACAACGGAUCUCUUGGUUCUGGCAUCGAUGAAGAACGCAGCGAAAUGCGAUAAGUAAUGUGAAUUGCAGAAUUCAGUGAAUCAUCGAAUCUUUGAACGCACAUUGCGCCCGCCAGUAUUCUGGCGGGCAUGCCUGUCCGAGCGUCAUUUCAACCCUCGAACCCCUCCGGGGGGUCGGCGUUGGGGAUCGGCCCUCCCUUAGCGGGUGGCCGUCUCCGAAAUACAGUGGCGGUCUCGCCGCAGCCUCUCCUGCGCAGUAGUUUGCACACUCGCAUCGGGAGCGCGGCGCGUCCACAGCCGUUAAACACCCAACUUCUGAAAUGUUGACCUCGGAUCAGGUAGGAAUACCCGCUGAACUUAAGCAUAUCAAUAGCCGGGAGGAAAACUCCCAAGUACUAUGUCACCGUCAUUGGUAUGUCGACUUGAGCAAACUGACCGCAGACUUUUCUCCUAGAUUGAAUGCUAAUGCCACUCCCACAGACGCUCCCGGUCACCGUGACUUUAUCAAGA